rnacentral:rRNA from 1 species
UACGUAGGGGGCAAGCGUUGUCCGGAAUCAUUGGGCGUAAAGAGCGUGUAGGCGGCUUGGUAAGUCCGCUGUGAAAGUCCAGGGCUCAACCCUGGAAAGCCGGUGGAAACUGUCAAGCUUGAGUCCGGAAGAGGCGAGUGGAAUUCCUGGUGUAGCGGUGAAAUGCGUAGAUAUCAGGAGGAACACCUGUGGCGAAAGCGGCUCACUGGACCAUAACUGACGCUGAUGCACGAAAGCUAGGGGAGCAAACAGG